AACGAACGCUGGCGGCAGGCUUAACACAUGCAAGUCGAACGCCCCGCAAGGGGAGUGGCAGACGGGUGAGUAACACGUGGGAACGUGCCCUAAGGUUUGGAAUAUUCCCGGGAAACUGGGAGCAAUACCAAAUGUGUCCGCAAGGCGAAAGAUUUAUCGCCUUAGGAUCGGCCCGCGUCAGAUUAGGUAGUUGGUGGGGUAAAAGCCUACCAAGCCGACGAUCUGUAGCUGGUCUGAGAGGACGACCAGCCACACUGGGACUGAGACACGGCCCAGACUCCUACGGGAGGCAGCAGUGGGGAAUCUUGGACAAUGGGCGAAAGCCUGAUCCAGCCAUGCCGCGUGGAUGAUGAAGGCCCUAGGGUUGUAAGAUCCUUUCGUUGGGGACGAUAAUGACGGUACCCAAAGAAGAAGCUCCGGCUAACUUCGUGCCAGCCGCCGCAGUAAAAC
rnacentral:rRNA from 1 species